AGUGAACGCUGGCGGUAGGCCUAACACAUGCAAGUCGAACGGCAGCACAGUAAGAGCUUGCUCUUACGGGUGGCGAGUGGCGGACGGGUGAGGAAUACAUCGGAAUCUACUUUUUCGUGGGGGAUAACGUAGGGAAACUUACGCUAAUACCGCAUACGACCUACGGGGGUAAGCAGGGGAUCUUCGGACCUUGCGCGAUUGAAUGAGCCGAUGUCGGAUUAGCUAGUUGGCGGGGUAAAGGCCCACCAAGGCGACGAUCCGUAGCUGGUCUGAGAGGAUGAUCAGCCACACUGGAACUGAGACACGGUCCACACUCCUACGGGAGGCAGCAGUGGGGAAUAUUGGACGAUGGGCGCAAGCCUGGUCCAGCCAUACCGCGUGGGUGAAGAAGGCCUUCGGGUUGUAAAGCCCUUUUGUUGGGAAAGAAAAGCAGCAGGUUAAGACCCCGCUGUUCUGACGGUACCCAAUGAAUAAGCACCGGCUAACUUCGUG
rnacentral:rRNA from 1 species